rnacentral:rRNA from 1 species
UACAGAGGUCUCAAGCGUUGUUCGGAUUCAUUGGGCGUAAAGGGUGCGUAGGUGGCGGGGCAAGUCAGGUGUGAAAUCUCGGGGCUCAACCCCGAAACUGCACUUGAUACUGCCUUGCUCGAGUACUGGAGAGGAGACUGGAAUUUACGGUGUAGCAGUGAAAUGCGUAGAUAUCGUAAGGAAGCCCAGUGGCGAAGGCGAGUCUCUGGACAGUUACUGACACUGAGGCACGAAGGCCAGGGGAGCAAACGGG